GCCCCUAGCAACAGGAAGAGACCCUCAGCUGCUGGGGAGUCCUUGCCCCAAAUCAAUCCCCCAACACACUGAGAAUCUCCUGACCUCCAGUUUCCAUCCUAGACCCCCUGGGGAGGAGAGGGACUUAGGGAGCCCUGCCUUGUCAUACACCAUCAAUAAA